rnacentral:sRNA from 12 species
CAUGAUGAGCUGUCAUAGCUUGGAUUGUAUAGCAGGUAGUCGCAGUCGCCUACAUUAAAUAGUUUUUUAAUGAAAAAAGACUCAUUUUAAAUGAAUCUUUUUAAACGUUAGAAUUGUUAUGAUUUUAACGAACUGU